rnacentral:lncRNA from 1 species
AGAAGAGAGGCAACCGAGAGAGAGGGAAGCCAUGUGUGGUUGUGAGUGGGAUUCAACCAUUGUGAUAUCUUCGUCUUCCUCUCCAUACCUUUGUGGAUUGCUAACACCACCACCCUUCUCCUUUAUGGGGUUAGAGAGAAAGAGAGCAGUCCAAAGUGAAAGUGAAAGUCUCAGAUCGAGUCGAGGUAAACUGGUGUUCGUUUGGUUGUUUUAUGAGCUCGGAAUUAAGAUUUAUCGAGGAAUUUUCGCUACAAAGAAAAGCAUAAGGAAAAAAUUGCUCACCCAACCAAUAAAUCUAAAAUAAUAUACAAGGACAAAUAAAAAUGAUUCCCGGGAUCAAUUUGUAUUGGAAGAAAAACUAAUUCCAUCAACAAGAAUUUUAUAAUCAAUACCAACUAUCCCUUUUCUAUUAUUGGUUUUUUGUUUUACUUUUUAACUAGUUAUUGUUACAGUUUAAUUUCACAGAAUGGUGUCGACUUAAUAAACACGAGAAGAUAGGCAUUAUACACUCUUUAAUUCCACAGAAUAUCAAGAAUUCGUACACAUAAGAGAGGACAAACCUUUAGAAUUGAAUGAUUUGGUCAAAGCGAAACUACAAAAAAGUAGUUCAAAAUGUAAUGCAUUCUUGAUCAAUUUGCAGCAACGUUCACCGAUAGCAUUCAUAAUUUGCAGCAGCGUCUAUCUGUUUAAAAUUUAAUAUGGUACAGAAGUCUGACAUCAAUGGUUGUGAAAAUUUCAGCAUCAUAGCAUUCAAGAAAAUGUGCUUUCAUGUGACAUUGAAUUUUAAACACAUACAGCAACCAUAUACACAUUAUCAAAACCUGAAUUUGGCAGAGUGACAAGAUAAUUUUUAGCAAUGCCAAUGGUGCAAAUCUAUAGAUAAGGGUUCUCUCUGUACUUCUAUAAAAUACAAAUUGAAUUGGUGCAAUCCAUUAACGAUACAUUUCCACGGCACUCAGAAAAUAAACAGAGACUGAAGAAAUUGGGCAAACAAAAUUUAGAAAAAACCUAAGAAGUGGCUUAAACCCAUUUCCCGAGUAUGAAUAAACAGAAUGCUAAAAACACUUUCAAGAAUGCAUCCAUCAAUUAAAAAAAAAAAAAAAAACUGGUAGAGAAAAGAAUGUACAGCACUUACAAAUUCAUCCACGCCUUCUUUUGGAGAAACUUGGCAAAUCAAACAAUCGAGCACCUAUAAAUCUUCUGCCCAUGAGUUGCAAUCGGUGGUGGUUGUAGUCGGAGUACGGGUGAGUUAAGAAAAAGAAAGAGAUUCAGCCUUUGGGUUGACGCAACCAAUUUUUCAAUUCAAUAUUCUUUAAAGAAGUUAGCAAAAGUUAUCAGAGAAGAUGAGGCUUUAAUUUUCGGUGGUGCCGCCGUCGGAGUGCGACGGUGGAUAAGGUGAGAGAGAGAGAUUGAAAUGUACUCUGUAGAUCCAUUCUUUAUGGUAUUGGAAAGAUGAAAAGUUGGGCUCUUUUUGGGAAAAACACGUUAAUUAUACUUUUGGUUUAAAAAUAAAAUUUAAAAGUUUGCCACAUAGGAUGUCGAUUGUGCAGCCACAUAGAAUGGCCGAAUAGCAAUAGAAAUAUACCUGAUUGAGUUAACCGCGGACCCGAACUUCUAAGGAAAAUAAUGGGUUCCUUACUACUGAAACACAAAGUGACUUAUUAUUUUUUAUGUGCAAUAAUUUAUAUCUAUCUAAAUCAUUUAUAUGUUUUCUAAAAAUAUUUUUUAAAAACUUUGGUCCAUUCUUUUACUUUAUUUGAAAGAUUUGAGAAGUAUUUGCUACUAUUUUUGAAGGUUUAAGACUACGCUGCACAGCACAUUUUUAAGAGCUCUGAAGCUUCCUU